UGCGAAGUUUCAUUGAUGUCA
rnacentral:siRNA from 1 species